rnacentral:rRNA from 1 species
GGGCUCGACCCCGGAGAAGGAGCCUGAGAAACGGCUACUACAUCCAAGGAAGGCAGCAGGCGCGCAAAUUACCCAAUCCCGACACGGGGAGGUAGUGACAAUAAAUACUGAUACAGGGCUCUUUUGGGUCUUGUAAUCGGAAUGAGUACAAUUUAAAUCCCUUAACGAGGAACAAUUGGAGGGCAAGUCUGGUGCCAGCAGCCGCGGUAAUUCCAGCUCCAAUAGCGUAUAUUAAAGUUGUUGUGGUUAAAAAGCUCGUAGUUGAACCUUGGGCCUGGCUGGCCGGUCCCCCUCACCGGGUGCACUGAUCCAGCCGGGCCUUUCCCUCUGUGGAACCCCAUGGCCUUCACUGGCUGUGGCGGGGAAACAGGACUUUUACUUUGAAAAAAUUAGAGUGCUCCAGGCAGGCCUAUGCUCGAAUACAUUAGCAUGGAAUAAAAAAAUA